GGGGUUGUGGCGAAAUUGGUAGACGCACUGGAUUUAGGUUCCAGCGGGGCGACCCGUGAGAGUUCGAGUCUCUCCAACCCCACCA
rnacentral:tRNA from 2 species